UUGUGGAGGAGGACGCCGAAGGUGGGGCUAAUGACUGGGGUGAAGUCGUAACAAGGUAGCCGUACCGGAAGGUGCGGCUGGAUCACCUCCUAACAGGGAGACAACAAAAUGUUUAAUAUUAUUAUUUUGUCACCUUAGGUCGAUCGGUAUCUCACGUUCUUAAUUAAUUAAGGAUUUCAAUUUCUAAGUUUUUCUAGGUCACACCCAUUAUUUUUCCUGGGCCAUUAGCUCAGGUGGUUAGAGCGCACCCCUGAUAAGGGUGAGGUCCCUGGUUCAAGUCCAGGAUGGCCCAUAUCUCUAUGUUGGGGGUAUAGCUCAGUUGGUAGAGCGCCUGCUUUGCAAGCAGGAUGUCAGCGGUUCGAGUCCGCUUACCUCCACUGAUUACCACCUCUUCCAUAAUUUGUAUAAGGGAAAUGUUUUGAGUUGUGAUCAAAUCCUGAACGAAUCCAGCUUCCUAAUGAAAGCAUUAAGAUGCUGGACUCAUUGAAUUAAUUUCAUUGUUUUCAGAGAACCUUGACAACUGCAUAGAUUAUUUUUUAAAGACAAUAAGCAUCUUUAAUGAUGCAGAUUUAUUAUUUGUGCGAAUGCAUUAAUAACAAUUCUAUUAAGCUGAUGCUUCAAUUUUGAAGUUAUUGGUCAAGCUACAA
rnacentral:misc_RNA from 1 species